UUAGGUCCUGUGAAAAGAAAAGUGCUGAGGACACUGUAAAUAAAAAAGUUUCUGUGUAAUGUUAGCGGGAAAAUAUGUGAGGAAUGUAGUUAUUAUACUUUAUUUACUUUUCAGAAUAUGUCAAUUAUUCACGUGUUGUUUUCUAAAGAGUUACCAAAUACUCCUACGGCGCUUCCUGUAACAGGAACUAAGGGUGAAAUCCUGCCCAUAGUAGACAUAGCGUUUCUAUUCUCUUAAGGUUUUUAAUGCUGUCAGAGCCUGCAAUCACCACUAACGUUAUUACACUAAAACUGCUUGGGGAAUGGAUAGAAGAUCAGUGUCACUCCGUUAGAAACAUUAUGUAAUCCACUAUUAACCGCAUCAAUUCUUUCAUCAUGGUGGUUAGCUAAGAUCAGCUACGAAGCUAGGUUACUUGGACCAUUCUUUCAACUUGAUUGCUGACAGGUUAGCUUACGACAGCUAACUUCGCUAUGUGAACUAACUAAGCCAGGAAAGUGGCGAUAAAGAAACUCCCUGCAGCUCUCUGGUGUUGCAGGUCGCUCUCAUGUGCCCAUGGAGAAGGCAGUCUUUGAGGGGUGGCUGGAGUCAGUCUCUGCCACUUUCCUUACUCUAAGUGACCAGCAGCGCAACCAGUCUCUGGACCACCUUAUUUCUCUAAGUGGUGCUGCCCAGCUCCGUCAUCUGUCUAAUGGACUGGAGACAUUGCUCAAACGUGACUUCCUGCGCCUCCUUCCUCUGGAGCUGGCUUUCUACCUACUGCACUGGCUGGAUCCUGAAACCCUGCUUACCUGCUGUCUGGUCUGCAAACAGUGGAAUAAGGUGAAUAUCAUGCUGAAUCCUGACACCUGGAAACACCUCAUCUUCUCUUCUCACAUGUCUUAAAUGUCUCCUCUAGGGUUGCAGUGAUAUACUGGUUUUAAAGUAUACAAUGUCCUAAAAGUUGAUGGUUAUCAUACAGUGUACAUUUGCUUAUCUAUGGCAUGAAAAAAGCAAUCUCCCCUUUAUUUUAGUUAUUUUCUAAGGGGAGACUUUUUUACACAUACAUCCAUUAACAAAAUGGUUUCAUGUUUAAGUUACAGUAAUAAAACAUUUGUUCAACCAAAAAUAA